rnacentral:rRNA from 1 species
CCUACGGGAGGCUGCAGUGGGGAAUAUUGGACAAUGGGGGCAACCCUGAUCCAGCCAUGCCGCGUGUGUGAAGAAGGCCCUCGGGUUGUAAAGCACUUUCAGUGAGGAAGAACGCCUGGUGGUUAAUACCCAUCAGGAAAGACAUCACUCACAGAAGAAGCACCGGCUAACUCCGUGCCAGCAGCCGCGGUAAUACGGAGGGUGCGAGCGUUAAUCGGAAUUACUGGGCGUAAAGCGCGCGUAGGUGGCUUGAUAAGCCGGUUGUGAAAGCCCGGGCUCAACCUGGGAACGGCAUCCGGAACUGUCAAGCUAGAGUGCAGGAGAGGAAGGUAGAAUUCCCGGUGUAGCGGUGAAAUGCGUAGAGAUCGGGAGGAAUACCAGUGGCGAAGGCGGCCUUCUGGACUGACACUGACACUGAGGUGCGAAAGCGUGGGUAGCAAACAGGAUUAGAUACCCGAGUAGUC